GGGGAAUAUUGCACAAUGGGCGCAAGCCUGAUGCAGCGACGCCGCGUGAGGGAUGAAGGCCUUCGGGUUGUAAACCUCUUUCAGUAGGGACGAAGCGAAAGUGACGGUACCUACAGAAGAAGGACCGGCCAACUACGUGCCAGCAGCCGCGGUAAUACGUAGGGUCCGAGCGUUGUCCGGAAUUACUGGGCGUAAAGAGCUCGUAGGUGGUUUGUCGCGUUGUUCGUGAAAACUCACAGCUUAACUGUGGGCGUGCGGGCGAUACGGGCAGACUAGAGUACUGCAGGGGAGACUGGAAUUCCUGGUGUAGCGGUGGAAUGCGCAGAUAUCAGGAGGAACACCGGCGGCGAAGGCGGGUCUCUGGGCAGUAACUGACGCUGAGGAGCGAAAGCGUGGGUAGCGAAC
rnacentral:rRNA from 1 species